rnacentral:lncRNA from 1 species
CCUCAAACGCCUUUCCCGCUCCUUGCUCCUUUUGCUGCCUGGUAGAUGUCAUGAUUUAUCUAUUCCUCCGUUCACGUGGUCAGCCAAAAAGUACGGAAUAUUUCUGGGUGCUACACCUGUGCUAAGCACAGGAGGGACAGCAAGCGACAUGGACAAGCCCCGACUCCAAUAGAAUUUCGGAAAAGCCAGACACGAAGCAACUCAUGGCAAUAAAGGCAGAGAAUGAGAUCACAGUGGAGAGUGUUGUUGAAAACUGUUGAAAGAGGACCCAGUAAAGUAAGCUUUCAUCCAACUCCUUCCACCUGUUGUCAUCUUGCUUUGAGCCUCUCCAUUGCUCAGUGGGUGUUGACUGAACCAACCAUGGAUAGUGAAUUAUCAUAGAAUUCACUAUUGAAAAAAAUCCCUAUAUAAGUGGACCUGCUGCGUUCAGACCCAUGUUGUCCAAGGUUGAAUGGUUCUUGAUCAACUCAUUUUCCUGCCUGCUGAUGUACUGCCUUUGGUGCAUUUUCUUCACUGACACAGGAGUGAAUUUUGGUCAAAUUGGGUGAGUGCUCUUAACGCUCACAUUGUUCAACGUCAACUGCACUGCGCAUGUAGGAAAGAAGCUGAGGUCCCAAACACUUACUUGCCUUCGUGUAUCCUACCUGAUUAAAAACUGCUGCCUUCUGGAGCUCCCGUCGUGGCGCAGUGGUUAACGAAUCCAACUAGGAACCAUGAGGUUGUGGGUUCGAUCCCUGGCCUUGCUCAGUGGGUUAAGGAUCCGGCAUUGCCGUGAGCUGGGGUGUAGGCUGCAGACUCGGCUCGGAUCCUACGUUGCUGUGGCUCUGGCGUAGGCCGGUGGCAACGGCUCCAAUUAGACCCCCUAGCCUGGGAACCUCCAUAUGCCACAGGAGCAGCCCUAGAAAAGGCAAAGAGACCAAAAAAAAUAAAUAAAUAAAUAGAUAAAAUAAAAUAAAAAAA